UGUUCGUGGCAAAAAGGGAAGAAGAGAAGGUGAGGUUUAGGAGAUAUGUUUGAGGCCAUAAGGGAAGAAGAGAAGGUGGGGUUUAGGAGAUAUGUUUGAGGCAAUAGGGAAGAAGAGAAGGUGAGGUUUAGGAGAUAUGUUCGUGGCAAAAAGGGAAGAAGAGAAGGUGAGGUUUAGGAGAUAUGUUCGAGGCAAUAGGGAAGAAGAGAAGGUGGGGUUUAGAGGAUAUGUGAAGGGCGAUUAGAGAAAAUUUAGAUGUGAGAUUUAGGAAUUAUUUAUUUCUGCGUUGAGAUGAAAGUAUAAAGAAGAGAAGGUGAGGGUUAGGGGAUUUGAGUAUAAGAGAUGAGGAAGAAGUGAAGAAGGAAAGAAGAGGAAGGGAAGACAAGCUGGAGGCGGAGGUGUAACGGUGUGUGAGAGAGAAGAAAGAGGAGAAGGUUGGGGUUAGGGGACGAGUGAUCUCAAAUGCACCUGUUAGAAAAGUGGAGCAAAAAGGGAAACUAAACUAUAUAUGGAGACUAACCAAUACGGGAAGAAGAGAAGGUGAGGGUAAGGGGAUAUGUCUGGGAAGGAACCGGAGGAAAGAAGAGAAGGUUGGGGUUAGGGGAAGUGUGAUCUCAAAUGCACCUGUUAGAAAAGUGGAGCAAAAUGGGAAACUGAACUAAAUAUGGAGACUAACUCAUAGGGGAAGAAGAGAAGGUGAGGGUUAGGAGAUAUGUCUGGGAAGGAACCGGAGGAAAGAGGAGAAGGUUGGGGUUAGGGGAAGUGUGAUCUCAAAUGCACCUGUUAGAAAAGUGGAGCAAAAAGGGAAACUGAACUAAAUAUGGAGACUAACUAAUAGAGGAAGAAGAGAAGGUGAGGGUUAGGGGAUAUGACUGGGAAGGAACCGGAGGAAAGAGGAGAAGGUUGGGGUUAGGGGACGAGUGAUCUCAAAUGCACCUGUUAGAAAA